UAAUAUAUAGUGAAACCACAAUAAGUUGCAAACUUAUAAAUGCUUAUAGCUAUAUUAA
rnacentral:tRNA from 1 species